GACAGAGGGGGCAAGCGUUGCUCGGAAUUACUGGGCGUAAAGGGCGCGUAGGUGGGAUGGCAAGUCGGUCGUGAAAUGCCUCGGCUCAACUGAGGAUCGUCGAUCGAUACUGCCGUUCUUGAGGAUUGCAGAGGAGACUGGAAUUCCCGGUGUAGCGGUGAAAUGUGUAGAGAUCGGGGGGAACACCGGUGGCGAAGGCGGGUCUCUGGGCAAUUCCUGACGCUGAGGCGCGAAAGCCAGGGGAGCAAACGGG
rnacentral:rRNA from 1 species